rnacentral:rRNA from 1 species
UACAGAGGGUGCGAGCGUUGUCCGGAAUCACUGGGCGUAAAGCGCGCGUAGGUGGCUUCGUAAGUCCGUUGUGAAAGUCAAAGGCUCAACCUUUGAAAGCCGAUGGAUACUGCGGAGCUAGAGUACGGAAGAGGCGAGUGGAAUUCCUGGUGUAGCGGUGGAAUGCGCAGAUAUCAGGAGGAACACCAAUAGCGAAGGCAGCUCGCUGGGACGUUACUGACACUGAGGCGCGAAAGCGUGGGGAGCGAACAGG